rnacentral:rRNA from 1 species
CACGUAGGCGGCUUCAAAAGUCGGAUGUGAAAUCCCGUGGCUCAACCAUGGACGUGCAUUCGAAACUGCGAAGCUUGAGUAUGGAAGAGGGUCGCGGAAUUCCCGGUGUAGAGGUGAAAUUCGUAGAUAUCGGGAGGAACACCAGUGGCGAAGGCGGCGACCUGGGCCAAUACUGACGCUGAGGUGCGAAAGCGUGGGGAGCAAACA